ACUUCCGGUGCGGCGGCGCGGCGUUCCGGGAGGUAAGUAUUGAGGCUCGGAUAACCCGGCCGAGGCUUCCCGGCGGGCGGGAUCGGGGCGGCGUUGCGGGUUACAGCGGCUUCCGGGGUUGCGGAGGGCAGUUAUCUGUAAAGGCAGUCUGCGUUCCGAGGAGACUGGGGCCCUCGCGAGGGUUGUGCAGGGCCAGGGCCCAGCCUGCCCUGCGCCGGGACCAGCCGGGGCUUGGCUUGUCGGGUGUGCCCUGGAUGGCUGUGUUACCUCGGGCAUCUCGAUCUUCCUCUCCCGGUCACUUUCCUUCCCCGCAGAAGGCUCCCUUGGGCCUGUGCGGAGGAUGCGAAGGCCGGGAGCGUAUCAGUGCUUAGUUGCAGUGUGUGCUUGAGAGAAAACUGCCAGAGAAAGGGAUGGGGAAUGCGAUAGCCUCCCCGGUGUCUGCGGUUCCAGUGACCUGACACCUGGAAAUAGAAAGUGGAAGACUCCAGAAACAAACCGCGCAUGGCUUUGAAUUUGUGUGUUUUGAGUAGCUCAGUAGUGGAGACUCACCCAGCGUGCUUGAGUCCCAUGUUCAGACCCCAGAACUGUUCUUCCCGGCCCUAAGAUAGUAGCACGAUGAAGUUUUACCUCUUCCUGCUUUACACGUAGGUCAUCGUCUUGCUUGGCGUAUCCCUCUGUAUACGCUACCCCCUCAUUAGUCACGUAGGACAGCUGCCUGUGUAACCCUCAUAUCAGCACAAGAGUAGUAAUGAUAGCCUUUGGGGUUUGCUGAAAAAGGUGCUAUUUUAAACAGCCUUUUUUUUUUUUUUAAAGGAAGAUUCUUAGGCUAAAGUUGCUAAGCUAUUUGGUGAGAACAAAAUUUUUGUUGUUUUUCCAAGACAGGGUUUCUCUGUGCAGCCCUGGCCAUCCUGGAGGAGCUCUGUGGGUUGGAGGCUAGCCUGGUCUACAGAAUAAGUUCCAAGUCAACCAAAGCUACACAGAGAAACCCUGUCUC
rnacentral:lncRNA from 1 species